rnacentral:piRNA from 1 species
CCCCAGGACUACAUUGAAUUUCUCUUC